AUUGAACGCUGGCGGCAGGCCUAACACAUGCAAGUCGAACGAGUGGCGGACGGGUGAGUAAUGUCUGGGAAACUGCCUGAUGGAGGGGGAUAACUACUGGAAACGGUAGCUAAUACCGCAUACCAUCAGAUGUGCCCAGAUGGGAUUAGCUUGUGGGUGGGGUAACGGCUCACCAAGGCGACGAUCCCUAGCUGGUCUGUGAGGAGGACCAGACACACUGGAACGGAGACACGGGCCAGCCUCCUACGGGAGGCAGCAGUGGGGAAUAUUGCACAAUGGGCGCAAGCCUGAUGCAGCCAUGCCGCGUGUAUGAAGAAGGCCUUCGGGUUGGAAAGUACUUUCAGCGGGGAGGCGUUACCCGCAGAAGAAGCACCGGCUAACUCCGUGCCAGCAGCCGCGGUAAUAC
rnacentral:rRNA from 1 species